UCAUGGUGAAUGACAUUUUAGCCAUAUAUUGUCUAUACAAUUUCAUUAAUCUUUAUCCUUUUUUGCUGACUAAUAAUAUGUUCAAAGGAAACUAUGUUUAUCUCCACACAAAUGACGUUGACAAUUGUUACAUUCUUUGAAUAUAUUUUUUAAAUGUACAUGUGAUUUGAAAUGAAUACUUCCAGCCAAACACGCCUCUGUCUUGUUUAUUUAUUUUCCCUGCUAAAUAUAUCUUUCUUGAUGCAUAGGAUUAUUCUCCUAUACUAUCUGUUCGAAUGCAUCCCUCUCUCUCUCUCUCUCUCUCUCUCUCUCUCUCUCUCUCUCUCUCUCUGUUCCAGUUUGUGUCACUUAAAAAGUAUGUACCAAUUGAUGGACCUCUUUUGUACUUAUACAUGUAAGAUGUAUGGCCAAAGUGUCUUAUUUUCGUUUAUUGAUGUCUCACUCUUCACAACAUAUCUACACUACAAGUGUUGGUUCAAACUCGUCGCUUUGCUUGUUUUGCGAUAUACUUUCUCUCCUGAUUGAUUCAUGAGCUGAUGUGAUAAACCUGUCUCUACUGUAUGAGUGAUAUACUAAUCUUGUCUCAUUUUUCAGCACUGGACAUCAGAGGUUCAUAGAUCAACUGCUGUGUUUGUUGCUGUAAAACUGUCAUACAGAAAGAUGAAAUAUGAUUAUCCUUUGGAAAUUCAAAGUGCAACAGUUACAAUUCGAUAGAUGACAAAUCAUGAAAAUAAAAACUAUCUAAGCGUAUAAAUGUAUAACAUUUAACAUUUUAGAUUCCAUAAAUUUAUAGAGCGUGUAAUGGUUUAAAAUCAUUAUUCAUUAAAAGCUCAUAUUGUACACUUUACAGUUAAAGAAGGCUUGAUUUCUGUAUUAGCAGAUUACAUUAUUCAGAGAUAAGUACCAGUUUCUGUGAACCGAAGUAUUUUGUGGUAUUAUGAACAAUUAUUGUAUAGUUUAAGACGACCUCUUCUGAAUGGAUCUUUUAUCGAACAUUCUUCUAUAGUAGAUCUUUUAUUAGAGAUUAAAAUCUCGAAAUCUUGGAUUGACACUUUCGUCUUGUCGAAACAGUAUGUGACAAGGAAUUCAAACAUUUUUGUGCAAUUAGUUUGACUUCUCAUUGACUUUUACCCCACAUCUUCGAUAUAAUGAUAUACAGUGCAAAAUGAUGCAAUACUACACGUCAAUUCGUCAUUAUGAUAUAUUAUGUUAAUUAUCUUAUUUCUUAUACUUACAGUUAUAUAUUAUCAUCUAAAGCUGUCAAUUAAGGAUGGUAUUAUAAUACAUGAUCCAACAAUUGCUACAACAGCUACCAAUGUCUUCUUCUUACGGGACGACAUCUUAGAAAAACACUCUGCCUGUUCUUUGGCUGUCUUUCUAAUAUUAUUGAUCCCUCGCUGCAGUGUAUUAUGUUUAGAUUCCAUCGUAAUUAUCACACUCGUCUUUUGUUUAUAUGCAAUAACAGUAUAUAUCACAGUAAAAAAUAUCAAUGUAUUUCAGAAUGUCCGCUUAAAAUAUUUUACGAUUCGGUAGAUAUUCAUUCAGGUGUUUACAAAAUAUUCAUAUA
rnacentral:lncRNA from 1 species